AACAAUAUUUAUUUUGUUGUAUUUUGGUCACCAACAAGAUAGAACAUGGGUUCGAUUGUUGGGAUUGUAUAAGGAAAGAAACGAAAGCCUGGGUAGUUGCUACAAGUUGGUCUUGAAAUUUGAAUAUUGAAAUUGCUUUUGUAGAAUCCAAGCUUUCUUUCAAUUUCCUUCAAUUUGUUAGUGAUCAAAAAGAGUAAAAGGCUUUAGGUGAUUUGUUUAAUAAUUUUUCAUAUUAACGCUUAACACUAAAUGAUGUUUGAAGUCAUGUCAUGAUCCUUCUUUAAACUUAAUUUAUCUAAUACUUCUUUAUAACCAUUUUCCAAAUUAGAGUUGGAAAGUAUGUUCGUG
rnacentral:misc_RNA from 1 species